rnacentral:rRNA from 1 species
AUUGAACGCUGGCGGAAUGCUUUACACAUGCAAGUCGAACGGCAGCACGGACUUCGGUCUGGUGGCGAGUGGCGAACGGGUGAGUAAUGUAUCGGAACGUGCCCAGUCGUGGGGGAUAACGUAGUGAAAAUUACGCUAAUACCGCAUACGAUCUAUGGAUGAAAGCGGGGGAUCGCAAGACCUCGCGCGAUUGGAGCGGCCGAUAUCAGAUUAGGUAGUUGGUGGGGUAAAGGCCCACCAAGCCAACGAUCUGUAGCUGGUCUGAGAGGACGACCAGCCAGACUGGAACUGGGACACGGUCCAGACUCAUACGGGAGGCAGCAGUGGGGAAUUUUGGACAAUGGGCGAAAGCCUGAUCCAGCCAUUCCGCGUGCAGGAUGAAGGCCCUCGGGUUGUAAACUGCUCUUGUACAGAACGAAAAGGUUUCUACUAAUACUAGGAGCUCAUGACGGUACUGUAAGAAUAAGCACCGGCUAACUACGUGCCAGCAGCCGCCGUAA